rnacentral:misc_RNA from 1 species
CUCUUCCCGCUUUCUCCGUUUUCGCGAACUGCCUUUUCUACCCCCUCCUGAGGGAGAACUCAUUCCACAUCACUGUCUCCUUGUGUUUCUGCGUUCUCUACCCAUCACUCAGCUGUGUGCCCGGUGCGCCUCUUUCGGUUUUGCAAUCGGCUAUCUCUUUCCCUCUCCCAUUCGGGUUCAUUUCCCUCGGCGCUUCCUUUUCGUGGUCGUACGCCUCUCCACCUGAGUGCUGCCCUUGUCGUCGUCGUGUGUGUGUGUGUGUUCUGUUAUUGUGCAAGCGUGGUGAGCGCCGAUUAUUUCCUCUUCCUGCUCUUCCUCUUUCCCUCCUUUCUCUUUUUCUGAAAUCGUCUUUUUGGUCUAAUACGCCGUGUUUCUGUGGCCCGCCUGCCCGCCCUCCGCCCCUCUCGUUCUCUCUGCUUCCAGUCGUUUCUCCUCCCUCCUGAUUAUUUCCCUCGACAACCGUGUGAGUUCGCGCGUGUGAGCGAGUCUGUUCAUAGAAAAACUGUCACCAGUGCUGCUCUUCCUGCUCUCGCUCUCUUUGUUUUCUUUUUUGUUGUUUCUCUCGAAGUCGCUAAUAGCCUGGUCGCCCAUACAACUCCAGCUGCAGCACUUCCCUCUUUUAGGAGGGGUCGCUUGACAAAUCGCGCCCUUCUCGGUACUUUGGCACCGCAGCACCUCUCAACCUCCGUGUCAUCGUCGGGUGUGUUUGCGUGUGUUGUUGUCUCCCUCGUGCUUCACCUGCAUACGACAGUCAAAAAGAGGCAUAUCUUCUCGCUUCUCUCUUUUUCUUUAUAUUCCAGCCGGUCUGAUUUUCCGUUCCUCCCUCCCCAAUCCCCCCCCUCCCCACUUACUCUCCUGGUUUGAUUGCGGCCUCUGCUUCUCUUUCCGUGCUGUGUGCGUGUGCGUGUGUGCGGUUGCGUUUUCUAAAACACCUCCUCCAUCAUCCAUCUCGGAAGCAAGAACCGAACAAAAGCGGAAGCGGCAGUGCGCCUUACUUUUCCGUUGCUUUUUCGCUUGUUCUGAUUCGGCUUGUUAUUGUAGUGGUGGUUUGGUUAAGUUUGGUUUUUGCGGGUGUACUCUAUCAGUUCCACGUUGUGUAAGCAACGCCAAGCACACCAACUUCGCAUUUGUGAGCUCGUCUGCGUCGGAUAAAGAGGUUCCGCCUGUUUUUCUCUUGCUGCUAUCACUCAUUCUUUAUUUCGCUGCCUCCCUCUGCUCGCUGCUUCUCUUUUCCUUCUUGGUCGAUCAGAGCCGUUUCGCGUUGUCUCUUUUCGGUGCUCCUCCUGCGGUUCUCAUCUUCCGGCGUGUGUGUGUGUGUGUGUGUUUAUGUUUUUCGUUUUUGUUUUUGCUGCAGCCCGGCUCACUCUUCUCUCUUCUCAGUACUCGCACCUCCUCCGCGACAGCUGGUGCACCUUUGUUUUCAUAGUUUUUUUUAUCUACGUGCUUGGCCAGAAGACCGCGCUCUAGGCACUCACACGCUUACUCUCGCUCUGUUUGUUUGUUUGCGAGCCAUCUUCUCGUCAACUCUCCCUGGCUCCCUUCCCCUGCUCGUGACGUCCUCGACGUCGUUUCUCUUUGCCUCAGUUUUCAGCCAUCUCCGCCUCGUUCCCGUUUGUGCCCUCCUGCCCACACCCAGCUAGGCACCAUAAGGGAGCGAAUUUCCUCUUUUGAGGGCCACACACGCGCGUGCAUACCUGCACCUCACCAUCCACCGCCAUACACACAGGUGUGCUCCUCCCCCUUCCUCCUUCCUCCCUCCCUCCCUCCCCUCCUUCAUCACUUGCGGUCUCGUUUGUAGCGGUUCACUGAGCGCCUUUACUUUUUUUGCUUUCUUCUUCGUUUUCUCUUUUGUGGGCCUUGCUCUCUGCGUGCUCGUGCCUUAUCCCCGCGCCGUUCCCUCUUGCUCGCGCUCCGUCUUUGGACCUCCACGCACUCAAACGAGAGCCACAGCCGCCUCUAGUGCCGCUCCCCCUCCUCUCUCUCCCUAUCCUUGCUCGUUUACUCCCCAUGACAGUCAACAACAGCAACAACAACGGCGAGAGGCUGGGCAGUGGCACGGCUCGCCUGUUCGUUGGUCAGCUGAACUUUGACGCCACCGAGCAUGAUCUCCGCCAGAUCUUCUCCUUUUAUGGCCACGUCAUUCACACGAAUGUGCUGCGCGAUGCGGACGGCAAGAGCACCGGCAGCGGCUUCGUCACGUUCCGCGUCACAGACGAGGCGGACUUCGCUAUCAUGUCCAUGCACGAUCGCUACAACAUGGGCCGGGAGAAGCCGCUGCAAGUCUCCUACUGCCGCCGCAGCGAGCGCAUCUCGCCUUUUGGGUACGAACACGCAAUGAAACUGCGGGAGAAGAACACCACGAACCCGCCACCACCGCAGCCGACGUCAUCGUGAGCGCAGAACGCGUGCGAAAACUAUGUGAAACCGAAAGAAUAGCGAGAAAGGCGAAAGGGCAGGUGAGCGGGUGCGGCUGAAAAAAAAAAGAGAAACGCAGAUAGCGUGCCCAAGCACCCGCUGCGCUCGCAAAGCUGUCAAGGCAAGGAUUGAGAAUCUCGCGCUCGCGCAAGCGCUUCCAGCAGAUGUGACGUCUUGCCGUGUGCCUUUCUAUGUGCACCUCCGGGUCGGCUGCUGAACGGAAACGCGUCUAGAGAGAGCAGAUCCCAAGUACUCUGUGUCCUUCACGUCUUCUCGAGAGCAUGUGCGAGGGCCACGCGCACGCACAAGCACACAUAUUCAGAUGGAAGCCCUGUAGCACAGAAAGAAGAGAAAAUGAAGCCAAGCUGCGCAUCAACAGCCAUGGAGAAGACCGCGUUGGCAGAAGUGCUGCUCGUGUGUGUAUGUGUGUGUGAGGGAAGUGAACACUUUCAGCCCCUCUCUAGGCCCCACCGUAAUAGACUAUUGCGCCUCCUCAUCUCUCUUCGUUCUCUGCAGCUAUCUCGCUUUCCUCUCUUCUCUUUUCUGUGCUUCAUUGCCUCAGUCAGAGCUUGUGUGUCCCCCUCCCCCUCUGUCCCCCUUUCCGUCAUUCACGUCCAUCGCUCGUAUUUUCUUUCGUUGCUCUCGUUCAUCUGCGUGGUGGUGGUGCGCUUAGUGACCCUCGUGUUUGCCUCCUUUCGUUUUGUUUUGUUUUUGGUGUCCACUUUUCAUGGAAAGUCACGAGAGUUAAGGCACUGCAUCCACAUGCACGCCCUCGCAAUGCAGCACGUGGGACUGAGCGAGUGAGGGUUUCCUUUUUGUUGCUUUUCGAUGCGUGUGCCGGUGUGUAUUCGACGUCUUGAAGAUAUAGGGGGUUAGGAUUACUUUUUUCCUCGUCUGCACAGCCAGCGUACAAGGCAGGGAGGCUGACGUUAGCCUUUUACUGUGUGUGAGCGUGUGAGUGUGUAACCCCAUGCAGGACCAAAACAGAAAACAUCCUUUUUUUCUCUACUUUUUCGCUCUCCUAUGAAGAAAAGGGAGUCGUUUGUGAAGAUGAAGGGCCGUUGCGCACAUGUAGGCGUCUGCUUAUCUGCUUCCUUUUUUCUGCUGCUGGUACAGAAGACCAGAAGAACGAACAUAGCCAUCUUUUAUUCAACCUCGUCUGCCCAUCCCCCCCCCUGCAUCACUCUCUUUCUUGAUGCUCCCCUCGCCCAUCACAACCACCACGAAUGCGUUUCAACUUGUUGUCUUUUUCCUUUAGUCUUGCUCUCGGUCCCCCCUCCGUCCUCCUCAUUGGGCAGCGGCACACACACACACGAGCACGCGCACAUACGCCUCUCUCUUGUCUCUUCUUUAUUAGUGCGUGUUGAAGGCUGCCGCUGCACAGCAGUCAGCACCACUCUUGUUUCCUAUCGUAAAGGUCCCUUCAAUGCAAUAUGAGCUCGGUACAUGCGUCAGCUUCCCUGCGAUUUUUUCUUCUGCAGUGCGUGUGUGUGUGUGUGUGUGUGUGCUCUCUUAUCUUCGACGUGGAUUUCCUUUUUCUCUUUUUUGCCUCUUCCUUUACGUAUGUGUGUGUGUGUGUUGCAUUUUCGUUGUUUGUCCGCUCUCAUGUCUGCGCAGUCUUGAGUUGGUGUCCCAGCUGUGUGUGUGUGUGUGUGUGGAUGUCGCCUCCCUCUGACCAACUCGCAGUCUGUCCGCCCUUUAUCGCGUAUGUUUGCAACGCUUCUUUUUUUGUGUAUGUGCAUGUGCGUGUAAACUGCAGAUACAACCGCCUUUGGUAAGUCACUGCCAGACAGGCGCACACAUUAAUGGGCAAAAAGAUGAGGGACGCGAAAAGCUGCAGCGGUUCUACACGCAGAAGAGCAGCGACGCACCGAAAAACGAUACAAAGGUGAGGCAGAUGUGUGGGUAGCAAAUUUUUUAAAAGGGAGGAAAAGACGAGUGCGCUGUAACACCGCUUCUAAAUACAUUUGCGCCUGCCUCAAAAUAUUUUGCUUAUCCUGCUUUCAGCUUCUCCAGCUGUGAACCGCUUUUCCGCCCCCUCUCACCACCACCACCGCCACCAUCUCCUCAGCACUGAACGUAAGACAUCGUUUUUCGUCUGGUAAUUUUCUUUCGUUUUCGUUUUGUGUGUGUGUGUGUGUGUGUUAUUGUUUUUACUCGUCAGCGCCUGCCCCCCCCCUCGCCUCUCCACCUCCUCUCUCAAGCCACACACACCUUGCCCACCCAAGCCCGCAAGCGCAGCCUUCCUCUCUGUUGCUCCACUUUGUGUUUGCGCUGCUUUUCUCCCUACCUCUGUUUCCUCAUCUUCGCCGUGAGGUCGUCCGAGUGCCAAGACGACGGGAAAAGCGCAUGUAUCGUGUAGGAGCCUCGAAUAAGAGGAGCACGCACACAGACGCACGCGCGCGAAACGGGAAAAGGGGACGGAAAAAGGAGAAGCAUGCCUGUCGAAUAGCAUGUGUGGCCCCACGGAUGUGUGUGUGGUCUUCCGCCUUCCGUCACACUUCACAGCAAAAUACAAGCCAUUUAGUUUUUUUGUUGUUGUUUCUUUGUUUCGUUGAGUUUGAGAUCUGCCUUCUCUCUUUUUUUCUGGCGUGCAACAGCACUGCACCAAAACCACUGUUGUUGGUGGUGGCCCGUGUGCAUGACUGUGUCGGAAGGCGUGUGCAUAUCCCUUUAUAAUAAUAUCCGAGAAGCGGAGACCCGGGCCGAUGACUGCGAAGACAGAGCCACGUUCGCGGAAGCGAAGAGGGCGACACAGUCAGAGAGCAAGACGAAACGACAGGGACGACAGCGUGCGCAAAGUUGUGCGAGUGGAGGAGGGAGGGAGAGUUGAUACGAUCCACAUGGGCGUGCCUACUCCCUCUCUCUUUCCCUCUCGAGUUCUUCGCUUCACCUCUCCCGCCCUUUCUCCCUUUUUCUUCUCUACGCCUUGCUUGCGCUAUUACCUGCCUGCUAACAUGUUGUGACUGUCGUUGUGUGCUGACCGGAUUUGCUCUCCGUUCUUCACUGCAGCUGUCUCGGACGUUCCUCCUCUCUCGAGCGCAGUAUCUUCCAAGCUCGUCGCACACGUUCAAGGAAAAGAAGAGGCACCGCCACGCACACGCACACGAAUACACACCUCUGCACUACCUCAGGCGGUUGUUGUUUUUUUUUUUUCGGGGGGAGGUAUCGGAGGACGUACAGCUUCGCGGCUGGUCAUGUCUCUUGCCCUCUCGAUGGCCGGGCUCCAUCCGUGGACCCCUACCUGUUUAGUUGUGCUCUCCUGUCUUUUUUUUUCGCUUGUUUUCCUGCCCCUUCAUCUCUGUCUCUCUCUCUCUCUGAGCUCGUGGACGGCACUUCGCUCGAGCACAGCAACACAUGAACUCGUCUCCGUUUUACCCAUUUCAUCUAUUUUUUUUUGAUCUCUCUUGCUCGCCUCCUGCUUUUUUUUCUCGUUUCUUCUCUGCCGGUGUUAUGUCCGAAUGCUGUGGUCACUGCUGUUAUCUACGGUGUGUAAUGAGUACGUGUGCUUUAAGCUCAAAACUCUCGUGUUUUUUAUUGAUGUUUGUGUGUUGUGGAUCUUUCGGUAGCUGUGUAUCUUUCUCCGUCUCAUUCACCUGCUAACGUCACUGCACAUGCCCCUACCCCGCCACGUCAUUAAGUGUGCCCCCGCGCGCUACCCUCUUACACUUUUUUCUAUUCAACGAAGUCGUCUCUGUAUCCAUUGUGGCGCAUAUAAGGGUGCUUGUGUGAAUGCAAGUGCAGAAUUUCAGCUAUGGCAGGCACUUCUUCAAUGACCGCGCGCGAAACGAAAAAUGUCGAUGUUAAAAAAAUGGCAAGUAUUCGCCGCCUCGUUCCUCUCCUCGCUAGUCGCCCUCGUCUAACCUGGAGCUUGCGGGAGGAGAGCGUUCUCGACCAUCAGACACCGUUCGAGUAUCCUGGUGUGGGAGGCUGAGUAUAUGUCUGUGCUUGAUAGUGAACGCGAGGUUUCGCUCAUUAACGGAGUUUUUUGCUCGCCUGGCACGAAAGGGCGGGCUACUUUCCGCAACCGGCCACGCAUACGCAAACAGGUCCCCUUCGCAGGAGCUGCCUAUCAUGCCCCUCUGUCUUCUUCUUUGCGUAUCUCUGUCCCACCCACCACCCCCUUCCUCCUUCCAGCCGCCGGAGAAGCAGCAGUCC